rnacentral:tRNA from 1 species
GGACGAUUAGCUCAGCCGGCAGAGCACCUGACUCUUAAUCAGGGUGUCCGGGGUUCGAGCCCCCGAUCGUCCACCA